GAAAAGAACCCCGGCGAGGGGAGUGAAAAAGAACCUGAAACCGUGUACGUACAAGCAGUGGGAGCACCCUUUGGGUGUGACUGCGUACCUUUUGUAUAAUGGGUCAGCGACUUAUAUUCUGUAGCAAGGUUAACCGAAUAGGGGAGCCGGAGGGAAACCGAGUCUUAAUUGGGCGUUAAGUUGCAGGGUAUAGACCCGAAACCCGGUGAUCUAGCCAUGGGCAGGUUGAAGGUUGGGUAACACUAACUGGAGGACCGAACCGACUAAUGUUGAAAAAUUAGCGGAUGACCUGUGGCUGGGGGUGAAAGGCCAAUCAAACCGGGAGAUAGCUGGUUCUCCCCGAAAGCUAUUUAGGUAGCGCCUCGUGAAUUCAUCUCCGGGGGUAGAGCACUGUUUCGGCUAGGGGGCCAUCCCGGCUUACCAACCCGAUGCAAACUGCGAAUACCGGAGAAUGUUAUCACGGGAGACACACGGCGGGUGCUAACGUCCGUCGUGAAGAGGGAAACAACCCAGACCGCCAGCUAAGGUCCCAAAGUCAUGGUUAAGUGGGAAACGAUGUGGGAAGGCCCAGACAGCCAGGAUGUUGGCUUAGAAGCAGCCAUCAUUUAAAGAAAGCGUAAUAGCUCACUGGUCGAGUCGGCCUGCGCGGAAGAUGUAACGGGGCUAAACCAUGCACCGAAGCUGCGGCAGCGACACUGUGUGUUGUUGGGUAGGGGAGCGUUCUGUAAGCCUGUGAAGGUGUGUCGUGAGGCAUGCUGGAGGUAUCAGAAGUGCGAAUGCUGACAUAAGUAACGAUAAAGCGGGUGAAAAGCCCGCUCGCCGGAAGACCAAGGGUUCCUGUCCAACGUUAAUCGGGGCAGGGUGAGUCGACCCCUAAGGCGAGGCCGAAAGGCGUAGUCGAUGGGAAACGGGUUAAUAUUCCCGUACUUGGUGUUACUGCGAAGGGGGGACGGAGAAGGCUAUGUUGGCCGGGCGACGGUUGUCCCGGUUUAAGCGUGUAGGCUGGUUUUCCAGGCAAAUCCGGAAAAUCAAGGCUGAGGCGUGAUGACGAGGCACUACGGUGCUGAAGCAACAAAUGCCCUGCUUCCAGGAAAAGCCUCUAAGCAUCAGGUAACAUCAAAUCGUACCCCAAACCGACACAGGUGGUCAGGUAGAGAAUACCAAGGCGCUUGAGAGAACUCGGGUGAAGGAACUAGGCAAAAUGGUGCCGUAACUUCGGGAGAAGGCACGCUGACACGUAGGUGAAGUGAUUUACUCAUGGAGCUGAAGUCAGUCGAAGAUACCAGCUGGCUGCAACUGUUUAUUAAAAACACAGCACUGUGCAAACACGAAAGUGGACGUAUACGGUGUGACGCCUGCCCGGUGCCGGAAGGUUAAUUGAUGGGGUCAGCGCAAGCGAAGCUCCUGAUCGAAGCCCCGGUAAACGGCGGCCGUAACUAUAACGGUCCUAAGGUAGCGAAAUUCCUUGUCGGGUAAGUUCCGACCUGCACGAAUGGCGUAAUGAUGGCCAGGCUGUCUCCACCCGAGACUCAGUGAAAUUGAACUCGCUGUGAAGAUGCAGUGUACCCGCGGCAAGACGGAAAGACCCCGUGAACCUUUACUAUAGCUUGACACUGAACAUUGAGCCUUGAUGUGUAGGAUAGGUGGGAGGCUUUGAAGUGUGGACGCCAGUCUGCAUGGAGCCGACCUUGAAAUACCACCCUUUAAUGUUUGAUGUUCUAACGUGGACCCGUUACCCGGGUUGCGGACAGUGUCUGGUGGGUAGUUUGACUGGGGCGGUCUCCUCCUAAAGAGUAACGGAGGAGCACGAAGGUUGGCUAAUCCUGGUCGGACAUCAGGAGGUUAGUGCAAUGGCAUAAGCCAGCUUGACUGCGAGCGUGACGGCGCGAGCAGGUGCGAAAGCAGGUCAUAGUGAUCCGGUGGUUCUGAAUGGAAGGGCCAUCGCUCAACGGAUAAAAGGUACUCCGGGGAUAACAGGCUGAUACCGCCCAAGAGUUCAUAUCGACGGCGGUGUUUGGCACCUCGAUGUCGGCUCAUCACAUCCUGGGGCUGAAGUAGGUCCCAAGGGUAUGGCUGUUCGCCAUUUAAAGUGGUACGCGAGCUGGGUUUAGAACGUCGUGAGACAGUUCGGUCCCUAUCUGCCGUGGGCGCUGGAGAACUGAGGGGGGCUGCUCCUAGUACGAGAGGACCGGAGUGGACGCAUCACUGGUGUUCGGGUUGUCAUGCCAAUGGCACUGCCCGGUAGCUAAAUGCGGAAGAGAUAAGUGCUGAAAGCAUCUAAGCACGAAACUUGCCCCGA
rnacentral:rRNA from 1 species